AAGAGACAUACUGUUGGUGUACCUCCCGCCCUGCUGCUUACCAACAGUCUCUCUACCUGAGUUGACGGAGGUGAUCUCGGACCUGGUGGUGAGGACUCCCAGUCUUUUGGUACUGGGGGACCUCAACCUCCAUGCCAAGGCCACUUUAACAGGGGCGGCUCAGGACUUCAUGACCACUAUGACAACCAUGGGGCUGUCUCAACAUGUCAUUGGCCCAACUCAUGUGAAAAGGCCAUACUCUUGACCUAGUAUUUUCAACGGGAUGGAGGGAUGGUGGUCCGGAUUUAGUGGGUUUAUCUUUGACCCCGCUGCCAUGGUUGGACCAUUUCCUUGUAAAGUUUAGACUCUCUGCCACUGCUACCCUCUGCAGGGAAUGGGGCUCAAUUAAAAUUAAUUUAUUGGGAUUAUAAUUCAAGGGACAUACUAUUUAGGUACCCUGUAGGAAAUUUUUUUUUUUAUUAAACUCUUGAUAUUGGCCUAAUAAAAUGUACUGCUGAUAGAAGAAAAGAUAAAAGGAUAGAACAAAUUAGCACAGAGUCCUGAGAAUAUAUAUUUGCACCUGUAAUAGGCCUAGCAUUAAAGAACAGAACAUAUUACUUAGAUCAUAAAGAGCAGGUAAUCUCUUAAAUGACUAGGUCUGUAGUUUGUUAGUACCAAUUUCCUUUUUCUUGCCAUCUAUUUCUUUCAUGAAUGUUCUCCUUUUCUUUUCUUUUCUAUUCUCAGCACAAAAUAGUCUGAAGAGGUUGCCAAAAGAUAAAUGACUGGCAAUAUACUUAUUAUUAAUCACAAAUGAAGUUUGGGAAGCCAGGAAAGGUGGUUCCCUUGCCUGUAACUGGUAUGGCGCAUGGAGAACUGAGGUUACUGUUAUAUGAUGAACUGAAUUCUGCAGAAACAAGGUUCUGGGUUGAAUAUUAUUUUUAUGGGGUCCCCAAAAUUUACAGACGAAGCCAGCUUUUUAGUUCCUCAGAACUCUUUCCUCCAGCAAAGGUGGUAUAAAUUUUGGAGGUAAAGGAGGAAGCAGACAAUCCAGAAAACUGAGCCAUGUGUGCUACUUAUUGUUCCUGAACGUAGACGGCAGGCAAAACAAAUCUCUGUUCUGUGUGGAAAGGCUGCCUAGGUAGCACUAACACAAGCACUAAAUGAAAGGUCAUCUCAAAAAGGACUCAAAAACUGGGAACGAUUUUAUAGCUGGACUCGAAAUGCAGAUUGGAAGAAGAAUGUGAAGAUCCAACUAGGGAAUGGAGAGAUUAAUAACUAUAACAAUUCUGGUAAUUUUGCCUUUUUAUUGUAUUUUAAAUGCUGUAAGCCACCCAGAGACCUUCGGGUAGUGUGGGCGGCAUAUAAGUUAAAUAAAUAAAUAAUAAAUAAAUAAAUAAAUAAAUGA
rnacentral:lncRNA from 1 species